rnacentral:rRNA from 1 species
UACGAGGGGGCAAGCGUUGUUCGGAAUUAUUGGGCGUAAAGGGCGCGUAGGCGGUUUGACAAGUCUGAUGUGAAAUCUAUGGGCUCAACCCAUAGCCUGCAUUAGAAACUGUCGGGCUUGAGUAUGGGAGAGGUGAGUGGAAUUUCCGGUGUAGCGGUGAAAUGCGUAGAUAUCAGGAGGAACACCAAUUGCGAAGGCAGCUCGCUGGGACGUAACUGACGCUGAGACGCGAAAGCGUGGGGAGCAAACAGG